rnacentral:rRNA from 1 species
AGAGUUUGAUCAUGGCUCAGAACGAACGCUGGCGGCGUGGAUUAGGCAAGCAAGUCGAACGCGAAAGAGGGAGCAAUCCCUCGAGUAGAGUGGCGAACGGGUGAGUAACGCGUGAAGAACCUGCCUUCAACAGGGGGAUAACACUCCCAACGGGGUGCUAAUACCGCAUGAGACCACGGGUCUGCAUGGACCUGAGGUCAAAGGUGGCCUCUGCUUGCAAGCUACCGGUUGAAGAUGGCUUCGCGUCCCAUUAGCUAGUUGGCGGUGUAAAAGACCACCAAGGCGACGAUGGGUAGCUGGUCUGAGAGGAUGGUCAGCCACACUGGGACUGAGAUACGGCCCAGACUCCUACGGGAGGCAGCAGUCGAGAGGCUUCGGCAAUGGGGGAAACCCUGACCGAGCGACGCCGCGUGGAGGAUGAAGGCCCCUGGGUUGUAAACUCCUUUUGCUGGGGAAGAAACACGAUCAGGUGAACAAUCUGGUCGCUUGACGGUACCCGGCGAAUAAGCUCCGGCUAACUCCGUGCCAGCAGCCGCGGUAACACGGGGGGAGCAAGCGUUGUUCGGAAUCACUGGGCGUAAAGGGCGUGUAGGCGGUCAAGUAAGUGGGAUGUGAAAUCCCUCGGCUCACCCGAGGACCUGCAUCCCAAACUGCUUGGCUUGAGUAUGGGAGAGGAUGAGGGAAUUCCUGGUGUAGCGGUGAAAUGCGUAGAUAUCAGGAGGAACACCGGUGGCGAAAGCGCUCAUCUGGCCCAAUACUGACGCUGAGGCGCGAAAGCUAGGGGAGCAAACGGGAUUAGAUACCCCGGUAGUCCUAGCCGUAAACGGUGAUCACUAGGUGUUGGAGGCAUCGACCCCUCCAGUGCCGCAGCUAACGCAUUAAGUGAUCCGCCUGGGGAGUACGGCCGCAAGGUUGAAACUCAAAGGAAUUGACGG